rnacentral:rRNA from 1 species
UCGUAACAAGGUUUCCGUAGGUGAACCUGCGGAAGGAUCAUUACCUAGAGUUUGUAGACUUCGGUCUGCUACCUCUUACCCAUGUCUUUUGAGUACCUUCGUUUCCUCGGCGGGUCCGCCCGCCGGUUGGACAACAUUCAAACCCUUUGCAGUUGCAAUCAGCGUCUGAAAAAACAUAAUAGUUACAACUUUCAACAACGGAUCUCUUGGUUCUGGCAUCGAUGAAGAACGCAGCGAAAUGCGAUAAGUAGUGUGAAUUGCAGAAUUCAGUGAAUCAUCGAAUCUUUGAACGCACAUUGCGCCCCUUGGUAUUCCAUGGGGCAUGCCUGUUCGAGCGUCAUUUGUACCUUCAAGCUCUGCUUGGUGUUGGGUGUUUUGUCUCGCCUCUGCGUGUAGACUCGCCUUAAAACAAUUGGCAGCCGGCGUAUUGAUUUCGGAGCGCAGUACAUCUCGCGCUUUGCACUCAUAACGACGACGUCCAAAAGUACAUUUUUACACUCUUGACCUCGGAUCAGGUAGGGAUACCCGCUGAACUUAAGCAUAUCAAA